rnacentral:rRNA from 1 species
UACGGGGGGGAGCAAGCGUUGUUCGGAUUUACUGGGCGUAAAGGGCGCGUAGGCGGCGUGACAAGUCACUUGUGAAAUCUCCGGGCUUAACUCGGAACGGUCAAGUGAUACUGUCGUGCUAGAGUACAGAAGGGGCAACUGGAAUUCUCGGUGUAGCGGUGAAAUGCGUAGAUAUCGAGAGGAACACCUGCGGCGAAGGCGGGUUGCUGGGCUGAUACUGACGUGAGGAGCGAAAGCGUGGGGAGCGAACAGG